ACAUCCUCAACCUUCUUGGUUUCUUGACCAGGAAGGCUUGGACUUUGGAGGUUUUCCUUGCUGGCCUCUCUUUGAAGCCAGCUCCUCCUAAAUGAAUUAGUGGGGUUUGCUUUGCCGAUACUUGACGUGAUAAGUAUGCUUCUACGUCUUGGGUUGCCCUGGAACCCGCUUCCAACUGUCUUUGAAUGAAGACAAUGUUUGAGUUGCAUUGCGACUUAAACUCAGUGA
rnacentral:misc_RNA from 1 species